rnacentral:tRNA from 3 species
CUCCCCGUAGUUCAACGGAUAGAACGAGGGACUUCUAAUCCCUAAAUGGAGGUUCGAUUCCUCCCGGGGAGACAA